rnacentral:rRNA from 1 species
GUCGAACGAUGAACUCCGCUUGCGGGGGGAUUAGUGGCGAACGGGUGAGUAACACGUGAGUAACCUGCCCUUAACUCUGGGAUAAGCCUGGGAAACUGGGUCUAAUACUGGAUAUUGACUUUUCACCGCAUGGUGGGGGGUUGAAAGCUUUUGUGGUUUUGGAUGGACUCGCGGCCUAUCAGCUUGUUGGUGAGGUAAUGGCUCACCAAGGCGACGACGGGUAGCCGGCCUGAGAGGGUGACCGGCCACACUGGGACUGAGACACGGCCCAGACUCCUACGGGAGGCAGCAGUGGGGAAUAUUGCACAAUGGGCGAAAGCCUGAUGCAGCGACGCCGCGUGAGGGAUGACGGCCUUCGGGUUGUAAACCUCUUUCAGUAGGGAACAAGGCUACACGUUGUGUGGUUGAGGGUACCUGCAGAAGAAGCGCCGGCUAACUACGUGCCAGCAGCCGCGGUAAUACGUAGGGCGCAAGCGUUAUCCGGAAUUAUUGGGCGUAAAGAGCUCGUAGGCGGUUUGUCGCGUCUGCCGUGAAAGUCCGGGGCUCAACUCCGGAUCUGCGGUGGGUACGGGCAGACUAGAGUGAUGUAGGGGAGACUGGAAUUCCUGGUGUAGCGGUGAAAUGCGCAGAUAUCAGGAGGAACACCGAUGGCGAAGGCAGGUCUCUGGGCAUUAACUGACGCUGAGGAGCGAAAGCAUGGGGAGCGAACAGGAUUAGAUACCCUGGUAGUCCAUGCCGUAAACGUUGGGCACUAGGUGUGGGGGACAUUCCACGUUUUCCGCGCCGUAGCUAACGCAUUAAGUGCCCCGCCUGGGGAGUACGGCCGCAAGGCUAAAACUCAAAGGAAUUGACGGGGGCCCGCACAAGCGGCGGAGCAUGCGGAUUAAUUCGAUGCAACGCGAAGAACCUUACCAAGGCUUGACAUGAACUGGAAACACUUGGAAACAAGUGCCCCGCUUGCGGUCGGUUUACAGGUGGUGCAUGGUUGUCGUCAGCUC